rnacentral:lncRNA from 1 species
CUAGUUUGGUGGUUGGGGCUAUAAAUACCCCCAACCACCCACCAUUCAUGGUAUCCAAGUUUUCAACCUUCCAACCACUUACAAGAGCUAGGCAUUGAAUACAAGACACACCCAAGUGAUCAAAUCCUCUCCCAAUUCCACAAAAGCAUUAGUGACUAGUCAGAGUGAUUUGUCGUGUUCUUUUGAGCUCUUGCGCUUGGAUCGCUUUCUUCUUUCUCAUUCUUUCUUGUGAUCAAACACACACUUGUAACCAAGGCAAGAGACACCAAUUGUGUGGUGGUCCUUGCGAGGAAGUUUUGUUCCCGGUUGAUUUGAGAAGAGAAAGCUCACUCGGUCCGAGGGACCGUUUGUGUAACACCCCGGGAUCCACAAACACCCCAGAAUGCUACUAAACUACACAUCUAAUAUUCAUAUAUAAAAUUUCGACAGCAUCUCCUUUGAAAAUUGCAUAAAUGGGGGGAAGCAACAAAGUAUAAAUAGAUAUCAUGAUAAGAAAACAUAUAAGACAUUAAUAAUCUGCUAGCAAUGGGAAGACAACCAUAACAACAUGAACUGAAUUAAUCAGUGCGCACGACUAGUUAAAAACAAACAUCCUUUGACAAGAAGUUUCUAAUUAAAUCAUGGCUGCGUCUGGGCAGCAUUAUUAUGAGAAUGAAGGUGGAUGUGCUGCUACUUCCCACUCCCCUUGAUGAGCAACAAGCACCUGCAUUGAGUAAUGCAAGAGUGAGAUGAAACAUCUCAGCAAGCUAAUUGUUCUGACGAGAUAUUUAAACCACAAAUUGAAUUCAUCAACAUUUUAAAAGAGUCACAAUUAAAAAUCAGAAAUGCUUGUAGAUAUAGAACUCAGUAGUCCCACUAUAACCAAUACCAUCUCAUUUCCUCGAACAACCACAAUAGGUUCUAUAACACUUCCCUGCGUCAACAAUACCUGCAAAUAUCACUUCAAUGCAUGCAUAGGAAUGCAAUGUGUAGGUACUCUAUCUUCAUACCUCUGGGGGUAUAAAACCACAUCAUCUGCAAAUAUCACUUCAAUGAAUGCAUAUGAAUGCAAUGCAUAUGUCCUCUGCCUUCAUACCUCUAAGGGUAUGAAGCCGCAUCGUACCCCUUCUCGGGCAACGUACAUGCUAAGUUGUACCGGUACGGUCGGACCAUAGGUCACGACAAAACUUCAUAUGCAAAUGAGUCAUGCAAUGUAUAUGGAAUGCUACAUUUAUCAAUAAACUUCACUUCCUUCAGAUACAACACAAACCUCAAAUAAUACUUCAUUUACCUUCAGAUACAAUACCAACCUCAAAUAAUACUUCAUUUACCUUCAGGGGUGUGAAUUAAUCUCAUGAGUCAUACUCAAAUCAUAAUCAUCAUCAAUAUAUGAUUGAGCAUCAGUAUAAUGCAAGCAAGUAAAGCAUCACCAUAGAGUCCAAUUAUGAAAGAAUCUGAUACUUCUGAAUAUUAGAGUGUAGGCGAUAGAAAUAACAGGUCAGAACGGAAGCAACCACCGCUACAUUCACUUGCCUUCAUCGAAGAAGAAGAAAUGUACUAGACAUGAUCUGGAGUGUAGCCACCUGCUAGUGGGUAUAAAACUUAGUACAAAUAUUUCACAAACAUUUGCCAUCAAUCAACAAAACACUCCUACACUUGAAACCAAGACCCAGUGGAAAGACUCCCACCCUGAACCACAUGCCAUACAGCAGCAACGCUGUUUGUUAAUUUUGUAUCUUUAAAAUUAAAACAGCGGUGAUAUCAAACAAAUACUCUAGGAGUAUCUACACAAAAUACUCUACAACUUCAGUAUUCAAUAGAUAAUUAAAUUCUGCCAUCUACAAGUUCUAAAACAUCUGACAAGAUAAUUGACUGAAUCUGUUUUAGACAGCAGUAUGGUUAACUUUAAAAUUCGAUAUCUCCAAAACUGCUGAACCAAAAAUUAUGAAAUUCUGCUGGAAGUAAGAACUUUUAUCCCUCUACAAAAGUCUUCAUAGUUGGAAGAGCCAAUUCGGCCAUUUACUAGAUGAAACCCACCAGUGAACAGACCCACUCAUUUUUGUCAGGUAAACAGGAACAGCCACAGUAAAACAAACAUAACUGGAGUUUCACAAAUCAUAUGAAUGCACUCUUUAACAAUCUGGAAAGCUUAUAAAAUUAUCUACAACUUCUUUUACCAACCCACAGUUUAUAUCUGUUGAUAAAAUUGCCUAAAUCUUAAGAGAACAGAUUCUGCACAGAAUUAUGAGACUGAAAAACUGCUAUAGUAAAACUGCAAUAACUUUCUGGUCGGAUGUCCGAUUGAGGUGUUCUUUGCGGCCACGGAAAGAUCUACAAAUUAUCUACGACUCAUACAUAGACUUUUUAUUUUUUUGAGGCCACUAAGACCACGGAAAACUGGCAUGAACAGAAACUGUCGAAUCUGCCAUUCUGCAGAAAACUAAAUUCGAGAUCAAAACCUAACCCCACAUCAAAUCCAACCUCUAAUCCUUUAAUUCCCAUGAUCCACAACCUCCAAAAGCCUAUAAUUACAGGGAGGAACAAGGAUCUCAUCCAUACCUAGGGUUUCCCCAAGAAAUCUUCAAGAGGAGAUGGGGAAGAACAUCCCCUUGAUCCUCUCUUCCUCUUCAAUUCAACGUGCCCCUCCUUUUCUCGAUCCUUGCUGCGUAGGGGGAGAUCUUGGGGGAGGAAGCAAUGGAGGAUGGCUGCUAUAGGUGGAGGGGGCGUCCAGCCAAGGGGGGAGAAAAAGGGGGUGGCGGCCAAGAGGGGGGGUGAAGGGAAAAAAAGGGGUGGCCACCUAGGGUUUUUGUGGGAGAAAGAAACGACGCCUCAGAUGACUUCUAUCUUUGCAUCCAAUGGCCCACAACCCUUUACCUCAUCCACGCACCAGAGAUUAAUUUUUGGUCAACAUUUUUUUGGGAUAUUACACUCUACCCCCCUUAAAAAGAAUUCGACCUCGAAUUCGGCCACUCUAAGCAAAACACCCAAGGUACCCCAUAUAGCACCACAAUUCAAAACAUGGGUCCAUUAUUGGUCUUAAUUAACACAAGAACUUCUACCUUGGACUAAUUGUCUAAGGAAACUACACGACCUGACAUCAAGCAUGAAACAACAUGUAAUGAAGCUCAAAGCAUGUCAUAGUUGAAAUCAACACUCCAAUUUCACACCAUCAAAUUUGGAUGCAGCUAUACAUCAACAUCAAUGUCUUAAGACAACACUCUUUUAUGAAGGGGUAAUAUGCACCAAGCACAACCCUUACCAACUUCAACCAUUAAUUUUAAUUAAAUGGUGAAACAUCUACACCCGACGAAUGUAUAAGAAGAUCAAACACCUCACCUUAAAGCACUAUGAAACAAGUAGUUCUAUUGGAACAAAACUCCUAAUCUUCCUAAACCUUAUUCUUGCCAUCAUGAAAAGAUAAUCAUGUAAUCUAACAUUCCUUGCACCCCACCAAAAGGGAGAAAAUCUAUAGAACUAAUGGAGCAAUAAAGCCAAAAGAAGCCAAUAACAUCUUGUGCGGCAUAGUUCAUCGAAGAAAUGCCAAAAACUCUACAUAGUGCACUGAUAGCCCAACAACAACACAAUACUUGCUUAACCCAUGUCACUAUACUUCAUUCAACAUCUCAACUAAGAAAAAUAUCCAACUAGUAAGGAUAACCUACACAUAAUAUAAGUCUUCAUCUACUGUAGUUCAGAAACUUACAUUUCAUUCUAUCAUACGAUGCACUCAAAGUACCAGACAUACAAAGUCAAUAAUAAUAACCCCUAAUCCUUCACACAUUUGACAAACAUAUUAAGCUGAUGUAAACACCACAUGAUCUAGGAAUAGGUGACUAGCCACACCCAACCAACUCUAGGCUAGGCAAGGACUUCCUUCAAACCAAUAGAUAGGUGGUCUAAAAAAAUGGCUCCACAAGCAUGCAUCGAAAAGGGAACCAUCAGAUCCUCAAUGUAUCAAUACAUAAUCAAUGGAUCAAGAGAAUCAAAGAUUUAUUCUACAAUUAGUAUGACUAACAGGCAACCACUUUAAACCACAUCUAGGCUUUGUGGCAACUAAAACACACAAUAUGAGAGAGACAUGUAAGCCAUUCUGGCUAUGAAAAGACUUCCCCCAAAAAUCCAUAUAAAGUACCAAUAUUCAUUUCUUUCAAAACUGGUUUCUCAACAUAAACAAUCAUUCUUUGCAAUGAUAGUUGGAGCUAUCCACCAACCGCUCAACAACUUAAAUUCAAAUUGAUGAUUACCUUGUACCCCAAAACACGCAAUUCACACUCCUCUUAGAAACAUCCACAAUCAAGCAUAUAUAACAAUAUUAUUGUAAUAAAACUCAACCAUGAAAAACAUGGUGAAAACAACAUAGGCAUACUUGUAUAUCACAAGCAUAAUAACAACUUCAUUCUCACCAAAGACCAGCGAUAUCUACCGCAUUAAUAAAACAAUAUCAAAAUUUCAAAAAUAAAUUAUAUCAAGCAUUAAGCCAUAAACAACUUACCACAUCACCGUAAAGGAAUAGGGAGGGGUGAAACUAUUGUCAUCUGCACUCCAAAGACAUUAAUAUAUAUCAAAGAUAUUUGAACCCAUACCCUUCCUAUAUGUGCAAGUGUGUCAAAUUUAUCUUCAAAUUGCCAAGAAUCUAAAGCCUAUGCUUUGAUACCAACUGUAACACCCCGGGAUCCACAAACACCCCAGAAUGCUACUAAACUACACAUCUAAUAUUCAUAUAUAAAAUUUCGACAGCAUCUCCUUUGAAAAUUGCAUAAAUGGGGGAAGCAACAAAGUAUAAAUAGAUAUCAUGAUAAGAAAACAUAUAAGACAUUAAUAAUCUGCUAGCAAUGGGAAGACAACCAUAACAACAUGAACUGAAUUAAUCAGUGCGCACGACUAGUUAAAAACAAACAUCCUUUGACAAGAAGUUUCUAAUUAAAUCAUGGCUGCGUCUGGGCAGCAUUAUUAUGAGAAUGAAGGUGGAUGUGCUGCUACUUCCCACUCCCCUUGAUGAGCAACAAGCACCUGCAUUGAGUAAUGCAAGAGUGAGAUGAAACAUCUCAGCAAAAGCUAAUUGUUCUGACGAGAUAUUUAAACCACAAAUUGAAUUCAUCAACAUUUUAAAAGAGUCACAAUUAAAAAUCAGAAAUGCUUGUAGAUAUAGAACUCAGUAGUCCCACUAUAACCAAUACCAUCUCAUUUCCUCGAACAACCACAAUAGGUUCUAUAACACUUCCCUGCGUCAACAAUACCUGCAAAUAUCACUUCAAUGCAUGCAUAGGAAUGCAAUGUGUAGGUACUCUAUCUUCAUACCUCUGGGGGUAUAAAACCACAUCAUCUGCAAAUAUCACUUCAAUGAAUGCAUAUGAAUGCAAUGCAUAUGUCCUCUGCCUUCAUACCUCUAAGGGUAUGAAGCCGCAUCGUACCCCUUCUCGGGCAACGUACAUGCUAAGUUGUACCGGUACGGUCGGACCAUAGGUCACGACAAAACUUCAUAUGCAAAUGAGUCAUGCAAUGUAUAUGGAAUGCUACAUUUAUCAAUAAACUUCACUUCCUUCAGAUACAACACAAACCUCAAAUAAUACUUCAUUUACCUUCAGAUACAAUACCAACCUCAAAUAAUACUUCAUUUACCUUCAGGGGUGUGAAUUAAUCUCAUGAGUCAUACUCAAAUCAUAAUCAUCAUCAAUAUAUGAUUGAGCAUCAGUAUAAUGCAAGCAAGUAAAGCAUCACCAUAGAGUCCAAUUAUGAAAGAAUCUGAUACUUCUGAAUAUUAGAGUGUAGGCGAUAGAAAUAACAGGUCAGAACGGAAGCAACCACCGCUACAUUCACUUGCCUUCAUCGAAGAAGAAGAAAUGUACUAGACAUGAUCUGGAGUGUAGCCACCUGCUAGUGGGUAUAAAACUUAGUACAAAUAUUUCACAAACAUUUGCCAUCAAUCAACAAAACACUCCUACACUUGAAACCAAGACCCAGUGGAAAGACUCCCACCCUGAACCACAUGCCAUACAGCAGCAACGCUGUUUGUUAAUUUUGUAUCUUUAAAAUUAAAACAGCGGUGAUAUCAAACAAAUACUCUAGGAGUAUCUACACAAAAUACUCUACAACUUCAGUAUUCAAUAGAUAAUUAAAUUCUGCCAUCUACAAGUUCUAAAACAUCUGACAAGAUAAUUGACUGAAUCUGUUUUAGACAGCAGUAUGGUUAACUUUAAAAUUCGAUAUCUCCAAAACUGCUGAACCAAAAAUUAUGAAAUUCUGCUGGAAGUAAGAACUUUUAUCCCUCUACAAAAGUCUUCAUAGUUGGAAGAGCCAAUUCGGCCAUUUACUAGAUGAAACCCACCAGUGAACAGACCCACUCAUUUUUGUCAGGUAAACAGGAACAGCCACAGUAAAACAAACAUAACUGGAGUUUCACAAAUCAUAUGAAUGCACUCUUUAACAAUCUGGAAAGCUUAUAAAAUUAUCUACAACUUCUUUUACCAACCCACAGUUUAUAUCUGUUGAUAAAAUUGCCUAAAUCUUAAGAGAACAGAUUCUGCACAGAAUUAUGAGACUGAAAAACUGCUAUAGUAAAACUGCAAUAACUUUCUGGUCGGAUGUCCGAUUGAGGUGUUCUUCGCGGCCACGGAAAGAUCUACAAAUUAUCUACGACUCAUACAUAGACUUUUUAUUUUUUUGAGGCCACUAAGACCACGGAAAACUGGCAUGAACAGAAACUGUCGAAUCUGCCAUUCUGCAGAAAACUAAAUUCGAGAUCAAAACCUAACCCCACAUCAAAUCCAACCUCUAAUCCUUUAAUUCCUAUGAUCCACAACCUCCAAAAGCCUAUAAUUACAGGGAGGAACAAGGAUCUCAUCCAUACCUAGGGUUUCCCCAAGAAAUCUUCAAGAGGAGAUGGGGAAGAACAUCCCCUUGAUCCUCUCUUCCUCUUCAAUUCAACGUGCCCCUCCUUUUCUCGAUCCUUGCUGCGUAGGGGGAGAUCUUGGGGGAGGAAGCAAUGGAGGAUGGCUGCUAUAGGUGGAGGGGGCGUCCAGCCAAGGGGGG